AAAUGUCGCAACCUAGUUGCCACCAGCAGACAUUUUAUAAAGCAGGGUUGGGAACAUAAACUACCUGAGGUUAUAACCUAAAAACUCAAGAAUUAAACGUAAAAUGUGAAAAAAUUUAAUAAUAAAAAAACUGAUAUUAAACAUUAAAAGAGGUUAUGUUUAGCCUGGAUUGCUAAUUGAGGUAACGCACAUAAUCAUCGCUGAACGGCUAUCAAGCUUCGGUUAGAAGUGACUACAGUGAGUUGAAGCGACGAGAGACGAGACGGAACGUCCACCUGUUGCAGAGACUGACAUCCUAUGCCCCUUGGUUAAAGGUUUGCCGGACCAAGUGUAAGCUAAUAUUUAGUUACAAUGUGAAAACAGUUUUUGUCUCAUCAAUUUUCUUUUUUCUAUAUACGAAAAAUCUAGAUUAUUUUUCAAAAAAUUUUGAGAAAUAAAGAAAAAAAUUGUUUUUUUUUCAAAAUAACUAGAUUAUAAAAUAAUAAUAAUAACUACAUUCUUGAGGGGAUCAAUCAUUAUAUGCCGGCAGAUGUUGGAACAAAAACCCUCAGGAUAUCUUCUAUAAGUUAUGCAAUAAGUUUUGAAUUGUAUUCUGGUUCAUAAGACGCACUAAAUUUAGCUCCAACAUUUACUAAUUAGUUUACUUUUU